ACCUCCAUUUUCUACCUCUUCACCUCCCUUGUCCCUCCCUCCAGCCUUUUCCAAGGUUCUUCUCAACCAUUUCUUCCACACAAGGCAGAACGCAAGACCUUCCUAGAACACACUGAUGGAAAAUAUUUUCUAUUUGAUACAUGUUAAUUUAGCCAAAUAAUAAAGCACUACAAUGAAAAGAGAAAUCUGAGGAUAAAUACCCAUAUUCUUCCUCCCCUACAAAUGACAGGAGGUCC